rnacentral:misc_RNA from 1 species
UUUGUGUAAAGAAAUAGACCCCAAGAAGUAUCCUCCUCCAUAGAGAUACAAGAACCUUAUUUCUAUAUAGGGCUCAAUCAUUUUUUUUUAAUCUCACAAGAAAGGAAGGUAAAAACAAAGUAAAAGAAAAGACUAAAUUACAGAUGAUAAGAGAGUUACUACUAGCCUUUUGUUUGCUCUGCUAUUGAUAUGUGGUCCAGUACACACACACGCACACACACACACACACACAAACACUCACCUACAGAGGGUACACAGUGAGGAAAAACAGAAAGACCCCACUCCCAUAUAUCAGUUCAUCUGUCCUUUUAUGUAUGCAUUAUGUAUUCAUUGUAAGUAGUAUGUAUUGAUGAUGAUGAUGGUGAUCUUGCUGAGAUCUUGUCUACAGAUCUUUUUCUUUGUUGUGAGUAUGGUUUUUGGCUAUACAGCUAGAGGAUUUCUUUUUCUUCCUUGUAUAUGCUUUCCAAUAUUUCCUAGCAAAGUCAAUCUCCCCGUUGCUGGCCAUGCUCACCUUUGCCAACUACAUGCCAAUGGUACCACGCCCAGAAGAAAGCCUGGGCAUUUGGAGAAAACACGACUUAAGGGAACUAAUAUUGAGAGCGGAAGCGGUGGGCAUUAUGGGGUUAUUGUUAGAAGAAGAUGUACUCGUUUCAUCAACCUCCAAAGCAGCAGUUGAGAAGACAGUGUGGUCGCCAGAUGAUUUCUUAGGAGAGGUAAAAAGGUUAUCGGGAAGGAUAUGCUCCAAACUUUCAUGAAGAUCACUUUCUUCAGUGUUGGUCUUCUCGUCCGUACUACAACUACUACUAUUGCUAUUGCCGUUACUGUGCUUGCUAGCUGGAUUCGCUUCCUGUUCAGCGUCCAGAAACGCAUUUCGAGAAGCUGAUGCAUCUGGGUUACCACCAUUCUCUUCGGGAACUUCUUGAUCAAUGCCAUCAGCUGGAAAAAUGAGGUUCUGACUGUUGGUAGUGUGAGAGAGCGUUGGCGAGGGAAUGGGCGACCCAGUAGACAAUCCAUGAAGGUAUUGAUGAUUGCUAUGGUUUUUGAAGUCGAGAAGUUGCAGAUUCAUUAGCCUUCUCCCUUGCAGUUCAAUAGCUUGCUGCAAUUCAGCUUGCUCCUCUAAUUUCCUUCUCAACAACAUCUCUGGAGUAUUUUGAAACAUUCUAGCUCCAAGAUGGAGGUCAAAUGGCUCCCUAGAAUCAAUUCCAAGAGGGGUAGAACAAGCUGAAUACUCUCCUCGCUCUAUCUGUUGUUGAUGCUGCUGCUGCUGCUUCUUGUCCGGGACUUUUCCCUUCUCCUUGUAAGGCUUCACAAGCACACGCGAAUCACAGACGAAAUGAGGAUUUCCUUUAGUCAAUAUAAGCUUCACUGUCUCUGGAUACACAAAUGUAACAAACCCAAACAUUCUCUUCUGCUGGUAUGGAAUCCUCACAUCUUGCACUGGCCCAUAAAUACUGAAGUAAUUUGAAACAUCUUCUUCUCUAAAAGUGCUAUCAGCUGGAAACGUCAAAUAGAUCUGUCUGGAACCUGGGUUCAUUGCCCCUCCCAAUCCCAUUGGCGAGAAAUCGUUUCUUUCAGGGCGGCAUCUCCCAAACUUGUGAAGCUCAUCCCCCAUCAUCAAUGCAGCUGCGAUCUUUGGGUGUCAUUUUGUUGUUGAAGGAGGAAAUUCAUGCACUUGUUGUAAGGAAAAGAAGCUCCAGUCAUGAACUGUGAGGCUGCGGCUAGCUUUUGCUGCUGGGCAGCAGCAGCUUUGGAUCUAAGAAGUUCCUGGCACUGUUCAAACUCGCUGAGUUUACUUGGUGAGCCAACAAUGGCAGCACCAUCAGCUGAUUCCCCAUGAAGAAACCUGCAACUAGUGCCAUUCUUGCAAAACCCUCUUGCAAAAUACAAGCACGGCUUCCAUCCAAACCCGGAAUUAGAAUCUUCGGACCCAAAACACAUGCCUGGAACCGAAAAGCUUCUUCUAUGCAAAUGGGUAUCACCGUAUGUCGUUGGGC